GGAAGAAGAAGAAGAAGAUAAGAAUACCACUUAAUAUGCAAUCUGAAGAAGUUCAUAAGGAUGCCAGAUUAAAUUAUCUCAAGAUGCCAUUUGAGAUGCAAUAUGAAUCCAAGGUGAAUAUAAAUAUGUCACUAAUAAGGCCCUUUUAUAAAAACAAUAUGCCAAAUGCCAUCAUUAAAUAACAAGAAGAGCCCAUUUAUAACUGUAUAUGCCAUACUGGAUGAAUAAACUUGUGUAUGUCCAUAUUUGUUGGCAUCAUUCUCCACAGCGGUCAAUACACACACUCCAGACAACCAUAUUCAAAAAUUUCGUUAAUGGAAUUUAUUCUUCACUCUUCAGUCAACAAUUGCAAUGGAAUACAAGGCUAACAUUAAGGGACAGAAAGCCUUGAAAUUCAUCAAUGAAGUUGCAAUUCACUGGUCCAAAUGCUCAAAAUACUACUGAUCAAAAGGUAUGCAAAAAAUGUUGACCACAGUUUCAACAUCUGUAUGUACCCAGAUGGAAGACAGCUGAUAAGUAUAUAUGCAAGUAUCAGUAAGGACGAGUCAAUGCCAAAGUUCCAUAGGGAUCUAGAAUAAGUAAUUGGAACAAACCCAGGCUAUAAGUAAGCAGAAUGC
rnacentral:misc_RNA from 1 species